rnacentral:rRNA from 1 species
CAGUCGCCACGGGAAUACGUAGGGUGCAAGCGUUAAUCGGAAUUACUGGGCGUAAAGCGUGCGCAGGCGGUUAUAUAAGACAGAUGUGAAAUCCCCGGGCUCAACCUGGGAACUGCAUUUGUGACUGUAUAGCUAGAGUACGGCAGAGGGGGAUGGAAUUCCGCGUGUAGCAGUGAAAUGCGUAGAUAUGCGGAGGAACACCGAUGGCGAAGGCAAUCCCCUGGGCCUGUACUGACGCUCAUGCACGAAAGCGUGGGGAGCAAACAGGAUUAGAUACCCCAGUAGUCCCUGUCUCUUACAC